UGGAGGCAGCAGUGGGGAAUAUUGCACAAUGGGCGCAAGCCUGAUGCAGCAACGCCGCGUGAGGGAUGACGGCCUUCGGGUUGUAAACCUCUUUUAGUAGGGAAGAAGCGCAAGUGACGGUACCUGCAGAAAAAGCACCGGCUAACUACGUGCCAGCAGCCGCGGUAAUACGUAGGGUGCAAGCGUUGUCCGGAAUUAUUGGGCGUAAAGAGCUCGUAGGCGGCUUGUCGCGUCUGCUGUGAAAACCAGAGGCUCAACCUCUGGCCUGCAGUGGGUACGGGCAAGCUAGAGUGCGGUAGGGGAGAUUGGAAUUCCUGGUGUAGCGGUGGAAUGCGCAGAUAUCAGGAGGAACACCGAUGGCGAAGGCAGAUCUCUGGGCCGUUACUGACGCUGAGGAGCGAAAGCAUGGGGAGCGAACAGGAUUAGAUACCCUGGUAGA
rnacentral:rRNA from 1 species